rnacentral:rRNA from 1 species
GAUGAACGCUGGCGGCGUGCCUAAUACAUGCAAGUCGAGCGAACGGACGAGAAGCUUGCUUCUCUGAUGUUAGCGGCGGACGGGUGAGUAACACGUGGAUAACCUACCUAUAAGACUGGGAUAACUUCGGGAAACCGUAGCUAAUACCGGAUAAUAUUUUGAACCACAUGGUUCAAAAGUGAAAGACGGUCUUGCUGUCACUUAUAGAUGGAUCCGCGCUGCAUUAGCUAGUUGGUAAGGUAACGGCUUACCAAGGCAACGAUGCAUAGCCGACCUGAGAGGGUGUACGGCCACACUGGAACUGAGACACGGUCCAGAGUCCUACGGGAGGCAGCAGUAGGGAAUGUUCCGCAAUGGGCGAAAGCCUGACGGAGUAACGCCGCGUGAGUGAUGAAGGUCUUCGGAUCGUAAAACUCUGUUAUUAGGGAAGAACAUAUGUGUAAGUAACUGUGCACAUCUUGACGGUACCUAAUCAGAAAGCCACGGCUAACUACGUG